CAAGUCGAGCGAGAAUCGUAGCAAUACGAGGACAGCGGCGAAAGGGAGAGGAAUACGUAGAUAUCUGCCCCUGAGACCGGGAUAGCGUCGGGAAACUGGCAGUAAUACCGGAUAACGUCUUUGGACCAAAGGUGUGAUUCCGCUCGGGGAUGAGUCUACGCCCUAUUAGCUAGUUGGUGGGGUAAUGGCCUACCAAGGCGAUGAUGGGUAGCGGGUGUGAGAGCAUGAUCCGCCUCACUGGGACUGAGAACUGCCCAGACACCUACGGGUGGCUGCAGUCGAGAAUCUUUGUCAAUGGACGAAAGUCUGAACAAGCGACGCCGCGUGCGGGAUGAAGGCCUUCGGGUUGUAAACCGCUGUCGUAGGGGAACAAAUGUAGAGGGGUUCUCCCCUUUAUUUGAGUGAUCCUAGGAGGAAGGAGAGGCUAAGCUCGUGCCAGCAGCCGCGGUAAGACGAGCUCUCCAAACGUUAUUCGGAAUCACUGGGCUUAAAGAGUUCGUAGGCGGCUCAGCAGGUCAGGUGUGAAAUCCCACAGCUCAACUGUGGAACUGCGCUUGAAACCGCUGGGCUUGAGGGAGACAGAGGUAAGCGGAACAGAUGGUGGAGCGGUGAAAUGCGUUGAUAUCAUCUGGAACACCGGUGGCGAAAGCGGCUUACUGGGUCUCUUCUGACGCUGAGGAACGAAAGCUAGGGUAGCAAACGGGAUUAGAUACCCCGGUAGUCCUAGCCGUAAACGAUGAGCACUAGUCUGUGGGGACCCUCACAUCCUCUCGGACGUAGCGAAAGUGUUAAGUGCUCCGCCUGGGGAGUAUGGUCGCAAGGCUGAAACUCAAAGGAAUUGACGG
rnacentral:rRNA from 1 species